rnacentral:lncRNA from 1 species
UGAAUCCCGGUGUGAGAGGGGGUGAUAAUAUUUUAUUCAAGUGAUUGAGUGGGUAGGAUAUUGGGGGAUUAAGUCAUUAGUGGAUGAGAAGGGGAGUUAAUCCAAAUUUGUAUUUUAUUUUAUUUUAUUUUAUUCCUAUUCUCUCUUUUCCAAAAAAAAUUUCGACGUAAGUUUUUGCCUUCUUCCAUUUUUCUAUUUUUCUUUCGUUUUCCCCUAUUUAAUUUUGCACUCCCCUUUUUGUUAUUCGCCUGCACUUCAGGAUUUUG